AUGAUGGUCAUGAUGAUGAUGAUGAUAGUGACUAAAGGUUGAGUUUUUUAACUGGACUACGCCAGAAGACUCGCUUCGUCGCCCCUUCAUUCAGCUUCGCCUACUCGACCUUCGUUUAGCUACUGAGGUAGC